GGUAGGAUGGCCGAAUGUUUAGGCGGUGGGCUGUAGACCUGCUUACAGAGAUUUGAUUUCUCUUCCUGUCA
rnacentral:tRNA from 1 species